rnacentral:rRNA from 1 species
UACAGAGGGUGCAAACGUUGCUCGGAAUUAUUGGGCGUAAAGCGCGUGUAGGCGGCUCGUUAAGUCGACUGUGAAAGCCCGUUGGCUCAACCAAGGAAGUGCAGUCGAAACUGGCGAGCUAGAGUCCGAAGAGGAUGGCGGAAUGCCCAGUGUAGAGGUGAAAUUCGUAGAUAUUGGGUAGAACACCAGUGGCGAAGGCGGGCCAAUCUGGGAGGCGACGUGGACGCUGAGACGCGAAAGCGUGGGGAGCAAACAGGGAU